rnacentral:lncRNA from 1 species
UAGAAAUUCCUUUUUUAAAUCCCAUAUCCAGAAGUACCUUUUUUAAGUCAGUAAAAAUCAAAUUGAAGAACAAAAUCUAUAAUAAUUUUAUAAACUUCUUGUUUAAAUCACAGAAAGUGCAAAUUUAAACCCAACAAUAAUCCAGAUAAAUUAUCUUCCACCAACUCAUCCAUCUCCUUGACCUAAUUCACAGACAAACUCACGUCUCACAUUUACAGAUUAAUUUCUUCUCAUCUUUCACCCACCCAAGGCCCUUGGCCAUUCUAAUCCUUGUCACAGGUCUUUGGCCAUCAUUCUUAAUGCACCUGCAGCUGCCACAUGCCCGCUCAUCCUUCGUCUCACAUCGUUGCUUGUUCAUCCUCAGUCUUGCUGCACAACACACGCGACUCAUCCUCAACCACAGCCACAGCUCCUUGGCCAUCAUUCUCAGCAAACCCAUAGCUGUCACUAGUCGCUCAUCCUUCGUCUCGCCACUCUGCUCGCUCAUCCUUAGUCUCGCAUGCAACUUAUCCUUAAGUCAAAACUGCACUCUACUCAUCCUCAGUCACAGUUGCAUUUCGUCAUCCCAAGUCAUACCUACUGCACCUCCAUUUGCGGUUCUCCGUGCUACAUGUUUUUUAUAUAAAAGUUAAAAAGGGAAGAAAUAAAAUAUAAAAUCUCUCACACUUAACUCUUAUAUAAUUUUAAAUGAAUUUAUUAAAUUUUUAUUUUUAAUUAAUAAUAAAUAAUUUUUAAUAUUUUAAAAUAAAAAAUUAAUAUUUUAUUAAUAGAAGUAUAAAAGAAAAUAUAUUUUAAUUUUUUAUUCAAAAAAUAGAUUUAUUUAGUUUUUAACGUGAAAUAAUGGAUUAUUUGGAAAAAAAAAGUCAAACUUUAGCUUUUUUGAGCCAUGAUGAAAAGUACAAGUCAUCUUUUUAUUAACUUAGAAGAAUUCUACUUAAAUGCGUAACUGUUGAAUUUUUUUUUUUUUUAAAAUGGAACUGUCGAAAGUUUUAAAUACUUAAAAAUUCAAAUUAAUUUAUAAAUAUCUAAUACUUAUAAAUUAAUUUUAUAAAUUAAGCUUAACACUUUGUGGACCGGCAGAAUUGCAGCAACUUAUUUAGAAAAUGGGCUUGGCUGGGUGGUCCAGUCCAGCCCAAUUGAACUUUAAUUACGGUGUCUCGUAGUAUUUUCCGGUAGCGUUGCGCCUAUUCAAAUUCUCUCCCUUGCCUUGCACCCGCUGAUCGUAGUACACGCUGUUCCUCCAAAACUUCUCCUCUUGAAGCUCAGCUAUGGCGAAUUUAAAAUCAAUCCACAGAGAUCCAACGGUUCAAAAUACGUCAACUCUCACAAGUUAGUUGCCUUCUCAUCAGGAUUCUCUGCACUCUGUCUCUUGAAACGUUCAAUCUGAUUUAGUUCCUAUAUGUUUGGUUCGUGAGAAAUCGCAGGAAGCUGAGGGAAAAUGAAGGAACAUGUUUAUAUUUCAUCUUCAUUUCUUUUUUAUUUCCUGCAUUUUCUCUGCAACUAUAUGACAGCAUCGCCGUUUGUUUGCUGGCUGAGAAAAUUUAGAGGCAUUUCUUCUUGCGUGGUGAUUUGGAAGCCUUUUUUUGAAUUGAUGUGAUUGAGCCAGUACUGUUUGCUUUAAUUACUGCAGGUAGUGCAGGAGUUUGUAUGAUGAAUAGCAAAUGGAGAGAUGAACAACACCCUUCUUUUAUCAAUUUCAUCUCUUCCUUCCUAGCUGCGAAUUCCUUUCGUCUCAACUUUGUUCCGAUUUCUCCCGUAAAUACCUUUCUGGCCACAUUCUCCUUGCUAUAGAAAUAGGAACAAAAUGGAAUUUUUGGACUAUGAUUUCUCUUUAGUUUUUUAUUUGGUAUUUUAUUUUAUGAUGUUUAUGUAUUUCAACAACUUGAAGUUGGAUGAUAUUAAGAUUUAAUUCUUACUAUAAUUAUUGAAAUUUCUGUAAUAUUUUAUCUGUAAUUCUAAAAAUAAAAUAAGAAUAGAGUUUGAAUUAUAUACAUUCAUUUUUAAGGCAAAACAAACAUGCUCAUCCUUUUUUAUCUUUAGUUCUUUGUAUAAAUUCUUUCUUUUUCAUCUAAUCUAAAAUCAAUCUCUCCAAUUUCAAAAUAUAGGAUUGCAUUUUCAACUGUGGGGGCUUGUCAGUGGCAUUCAUCUUUGUGACUAACUGGGAUUGUGACAAUAUCAUGCCAAUCUUCAGCAGGUAACCUAUAAAUUGUUCUUAUGGGAUCUCCUGCUGUGUGUUAUAGCAGCCUUGUUCAGUUGAUAUGAUCUGAUAUAUACGCACAGAGUUCAGAAGCUAAAGGGACAGUUUGCUAAUUUUUAUGUUGUUGUAUCCCUUUCAACCAAGGAGCAGAACGAUUCUUUUGUUCGCUCUUACUUCAAGUGAGUUGGUCAUGCGGAGGAACUAAUGUAUUUUCAAGUUGAUUUGUUUGCAACUCUUGAGUCUGAGUCUAAAGAACUUCUGAUGUCUGCUUGAAUAUAUUCAAGGUAUGGGAUGGAGCUUGGCAAGCCAACGUUUGUGCCAGUCCAAGACAGAGAGAUGGGAUUUGAAAAGAUUGUUAAAAUAGCUCUCUCUCGUGGGGGUAACCUCUUAGUGUGCAAAAGCUUUAAUCGCUUGCAUUAUUCCUUGCAAAUCCCUUAAUGUACUCUGUUUAAUUCAGCAUGCAAGCGGCAGGAUGUUACAUCGAAGUUGAAGGCUGAGGUUAGUUUCUGGAAUUUAUCCUCUUGCCAAUAUUAUCUGCUAGUUAUCUGAUAUUCCAGAAUAAUUAAUUUCUUCGGGUUGCAUUUCUGUUUCCUUCCCAUGUGAAGAGGAAGCAAGCUAUGCAUGGGAUGGACAAUUUUAGAGUGAUCACAUCCAUACCAGGCAUUGAUAAUCAUGACGCGAAUUCGGUAAUUCAAUCCUUAUUGAUUCUUUGAGAAAAAAAAAAAUCCUUAUUGAUUCAACCAAUCAGUUCAAAUUUUCUUCUCUAACAGUUCCUCUAAUAGCAUCAAUAUAUUAGGUGUAACAUUAACUAAUGGGUUAAAUUAUCCCCUGACAUUGUAAUCUCUGCCUGUUUGCUUGUAUAUAAACUUGUAUUGAUCCUGUAAAAUCCUGAAAUAUAGUUCUUUGAAUAAUUACUAAGAUCUUAGAAUGAUCUCUUGUAAGAAAUAUGAAUUUGACUUAUGUCCUAGCCAAAUUGUCACCGACAUUUUAAACCAAGGAAAAUUAUUUUAAAUUGUAAUAAGAUAAGAAACUAUUGGACAAUUUUUGUGUAUAUCCUCUAUUGAAGUAAGUGUGUUUAUAUACAGAUUACAAGAUCUUGUUAAUACAACUCUUAAGAAUCUUCUAUCAAUUAGUCUAUGAUUAUAUAAUCUUCUUUAAUUAUGUAUAAAUUAUGUUCACACUUUAAUAUUUCCCCUCAAUAUUUCCCCUCAAGUUGGAGCAAGGAUGUUUAUCAUGCCCAACUUGUUAGAAAGAUAUUUUGUUUGAGGCCCAUUUAAUACUUUGGUGAGUAGAUACCCUAGUUUCUCUUUUGUCUUCACAUAACUGGUAUAAAUUAAUUUUUCUUGAAUCUUUUCACGGAUGAAAUGGUAAUCAACUUCAAUAUACUUAGUCCAUUCAUGGUAUACCGGGUUGAAAGCGAUGUAAAUAGUAGCCUGAUUAUCAUACUAAAGUUUUGCGGGCGAUACAACAUCCAAACCAACUUCUUUCAGCAAAUGAUUUAUCCAUAGAAUGUCACAAGUGGAUUGAGUCAUAACUCAGCACUGGACCUGAAUACCACAUUUUGCUUCUUACUUUUCCAAGACACUAGGUUUCCUCUAACAAACACACAGCAGCCUGUAGUUGACCUUCUAUCACUUUUCGAUACUGCCCAAUCAGCAUUUGAAAAAACACUCAACUCCAGUAUACCCAUGAUUACUGUAGAGUAUACCGAGUUUAGAGGUCUCUUUUAGAUAAGAUAGAAUACCAUGUGUCACAGGCGCUCUUGAGCACUGCGCCUAUGCGGCACUUGGACAGGCCCCAACGAGGUUACAGCCUGCCAAGUUCAGCCUAUCGAGAAGUCUUGCCAAGUUGACUGGUUUCGCCCUGCCUUAGGCUCAUCAAGGGAGCGGCUCCAGCCCCCUGACCAGUGUAUGCAUGAAUGGUGAUCCCACACACAACGGGCCUUCGAGCAACUCCCCACCCAAUCUUCACGGCAACAUCUUCCUCAGCAUGGUGUUGCACAUCCCUAGGAUUUAUGGAUGUGACAACUCUCCUCCACUCAAACUAUGCUCGCCCUCGAGCAUGUCUGUAAUAAAGCACUUUGAUCCCAGCAUCGUUUCUCCGAAGUGACUCUCCUCCACUCAAGCUACAAGCGCAUUGAGCCAAAGGGGACGUCCGAGCCAAAGGGGUUAUCCCAGCCCCGUCGGAACGCAGGUUUCAUCUUGCCUUGCCCCACCCUCUAAGGCACCCGAGGAACCCUAUCCUCACUCAUAAAUUUGCCCCGCAAUACUUGCUCUGGACACCACCUUCACUUAGUGAGUCCCAUAUAACAUCUUGGUGCCCGCAGCGUCAAUCCUUGCUCCCCUCCACCAAGGAAGCUCAACUUAACUACGCACAGUCACUCUAUUGGAUCCCCACACUAGGAAAGACAACUCCUCUCCUCCUCUAUUCUUCCAGGAUCUUCAAGCGAGAUGGCAAUGCGUGCCAUGCGGAAGCCCACCUUUGCUCUGAUACCAUGAAAUCUAUAAUGAAAAAAAAAAAAUAGAGCAGAAGAUUUGAGAGAAAAUACUUGAUUAUUCCCCUCAAGCCAAUUGGGAUAUAUAUACUACUUACAAGAGUACAUAUAAUAAAUUAAUUCUCUAAUUAUAGCCUAAUCAUAUUUCAAUCAUAUCACACAAUCAUAUCCCUAGUUAUCACUACAAAUCUAGGCUAUUUACAGAAAUAAUCUCAAUAGUUUUAGAGCCGUCCAAUAUUUCACCAUAGGAGCAGAUAUGAACCGCCUUACAACGCUUAUUGCAAAAACAAUAUCUGGCCGAAUCAUCACUAUAUAGUAGUUCAGUUUUCCAAUCAACCUCCUAUACCUCUCUGGAUCAUCAUAAGCGUCUCCGUCAUCCUUUAUAAAAUAUAUAUUAGGAAUCAUUAGUGUGCUACAUGGUUUAGCUCCUAACUUCCUAGUUUUUGCAAGUAAGUUAAGGAUAUACUUCUUUUAAGACAGGAUCAAUUUUCUUUUUACUCCUUAACACUUCGACUCUCAAGAAAUACUUAAGCUGACUCAAUUCUUUAGUAUGAAAACUCGCAUGCAAGAAAGAUUUGAGAGAAGAAAUCCCUGCACUAUAAUGACAAUGUCAUCAACAUAUACAAUAAGGAGAAUAAUACCAGUAUUUGAAUUUCUAUAGAAGACUGAGUGGUCCCACUUGCUUUUUUAAUCCAAAUUUAUGAACAACUUCACUGAACUUAUCAAACCAUCCACGGGGACUGCUUCAAAACAUAAAAAAGAUUUUUUCAAAUGAUAGACUUUUCCAUACUCCCCUGAGCAACAAACCCAGGUGGUUGCUCCAUAUAUACCUUCUCUUAGAUGUUACCAUGUAAAAAUGUAUUUUUGAUAUCUAACUGGUGUAAAGGCCAAUACUGAGAAGCAAUUAGGGAGAUGAACAAGCGAACUAAGGUUAUUUUGACCACAGGAGAAAAAGUGUCAGAAUAGUCAACGCCAUAGGUUUGUUCAUAGCAUUUGGCGACAAGACGAGCCUUAAGCCUCGGUAUGGAACUAUCUGGAUUGACUUUGAUAACAAAAACCCAUUUACAGCCCACAACCUUCUUGUCAGAGAGUAAAUCAACUAGUUCCCAAGUAUGAUUUUCAUCUAGACCUUUUAUCUCCUGCAACAUUGCAUUACACCAUCCAGAAUGGGUUAGGGUCUCUUUAACUGUCUUAGAUAAAUAAAUGAAAUUUAGAGAGACAAUUAAGGAGGUAGAAGGAGACAGGUGAUCAUAAGAAAGAAAGUUAGCAAGAGAAUAGGUAGACUUACACUGUUGUUUACCUUAAUGAAGACUAAUGGGAGGUCAAGGUCACUCGGUGGUGGAUCCGAUGGCGAAGAAGAUUUUGGUGCAGGACAUGUAUCAUCAAGUACUAGUCUCCGAGAGUAAACUUGAACAAUUGACGAUUUAACAGGAGGCUGAGUACUAGGAGAAAUGCUACCAUCAGAUGGUGCAACAUAAGGCACAUUUGAGGAGUUUCCACCAUCAAAGGUGAUUCUAUAGAUGAGUCACUCAUCGUCCUCCUCCUGACCAGUAGACAUUUAUACAACAGAAUAAAAAGGAAUUUGCUUGGAAAAUGCUACAUCUGUUGAGAUCAGAUAUUUAUUGAACUCUGAAGAGUAAUAUCGAUACCCCUUUUGAAAGCAAGAACAUUCUAAAAAGACACACCUAAAAACUUGAGGAUUAAGUUUAGUCACAUGAGGUCUGACAUUUCGAACAUAGCAAGUGUUGCUAAAAACUUGUGAUUCUAGAGGAAAUAAUGACUUCUUAAGAAAAAGGACAUUAUAGGGAGUAUUACCGGGAGAGGCAUGCAGUUAAUGAGGAGGCAUGCAGUUAAUGAGGAAGCAUGCAGUAGAGACAACAUCGGUCUAGAAUUGCUUAGGAACUUACAUUUGAAACAACAGAGCUCGAGUAGCCUCAAGGAGAUGUCAAUUCUUUCUUUCAGCUAUCCUAUUUUGGGCGGAUGUAUCAACACAUGAUGAUUAGUGAAGAAUACCAUAUUGAGUCGUAUAAACCUAGAAUGAUUCUGACAUAUGAGGAAGCAUGCAGUAGAGACAACAUCGGCCCAGAAUUGCUUAGAAACUUACAUUUGAAACAACAGAGCUCGAGUAGUCUCAAGGAGAUGUCAAUUCUUUCUUUCAGCUAUCCUAUUUUGGGCGGAUGUAUCAACACAUGAUGAUUACUGAAGAAUAACAUAUUGAGUCAUAUAAACCUGGAAUGAUUCUGACAUAUAUUCUUUAGCAUUGUCGCUUCGCAAAAUUUGUACAAAAACGCUAAAUUGAGUCUUGAUUUCAGCACAAAAGGCAAAGAACUGAGAAAACACUUCUGAACGAUGCUUCAUAAAAUAACUCCAAGUCAUUUUAGAAAAAUCAUCCACAAAAAUGAUAAAAUAUCUGAAUCCAGUCUUAGACCCAACUGGAUAUGGUCCCCAAACAUCUGAAUAAACUAAUUCAAAAGCAGACUCAACUCGUUUAUUGACUCUAGGAUUUAAAGAGCUUCGAUGAUAUUUGGCAAAAUGACAUGACUCACACUCUAACGAAGAUAUCUCAUGAAAUUGAGGGGAUAACUUCUUCAAAACAAGUAAAAAAGGAUGUAUCAACUGACAAUGUGCUUUGAAUGGAGACAAGACACUGGAGCAGGCAAUAGACUAAGGCACCCAUGCAUCUAAAAUGUUGAGAUCCUCAGAUACAUAUCCUUUACCAAUAAUCUGUGUAGAAAGAUAAUAUUUAUUGUUUAUCACAAUAGAGAUUACAACCUAUUUAUACAUGAGAGACGGUAACUAAACAGGAAGGAAAAUCAAGCCUAUGAUUAUACAAUCCCUAAGAUUAAGUAACUGACCCAUCUAUCAAUAUUUACUUCCUAUAUUAACAUAUUUACUUUCUAUAACUUAUAACACUCCCCUUCAAGUUGGAUCAUAAAUGUUAAUCAUGCCCAACUUGUUACAUAUAUAAUCAACUCGAGUCCCAUUUAGAGCUUUAGUGAAAAUAUCUCCUAAUUGUUCUCUAGUUCGGAUAUGUCCUGUUGAUAUUAUCUUUUGUUUUCACGAACACAAUGACAAUCAAUCUCAAUGUGUUUAGUCCUCUCGUGAAAACUGGAUUGGAGGCAAUGUGGAUAGCUGCUUGAUUAUCACACCACAACUUAGCAGGCACCGAAUUUAUGGACCCAACUUCUUCCAACAGUUGACGUACCCACAAGAUUUCACAAACGGCAUGUGCCAUAGCUCGAUAUUCAGAUUCAGCACUAGAACGGGAGACCACAUUUUACUUCUUACUUUUCCAUAAGACCAAGUUACCUCCCACAAAAACACAAUACCCAGUAAUUGACCUCCUAUCAACUUUCGAGUCUGCCCAAUCAGCAUCACAAAAGUAUUCAAUAUUCGAGUGCCCAUGGUUACCAUAGAAUAGGCCUCGCCCUGGGGCCCCUUUAAGGUAACAAAGAAUCUGUCCCAGAGCAUCCCACUGGGCAACAGUAGGAGAAGACAUAAACUGACUUACCACACUUACUGAAUAUGCAAUAUCAAGACGAGUCACCGUCAAAUAAUUCAGCUUGCCAACUAAUCUUCUAUACCUUCCAGGAUCUGCAAACGGCUCACUAUCUUCUGUGGUAAGUUGAAGGUUAGGGGUCAUUGGGGCACUACAAGGCUUAGCACCCAAUUUUCCUGUUUCUACCAAUAAAUCAAGAACAUAUUUUCUUUGAGACAAGAAGAUGCCUUUCUUACACCGCAUAACUUCGAUUCCCAAGAAAUAUUUCAAGGAACCCAAAUCCUUUGUAUGAAACUGUGUUUUAAGAAAUUCUUUUAGGGAUGUGAUGCUAGCAAUGUCACUUCUUGUGAUAACGAUAUCAUCCACAUAUACUACAAGUAGAAUUACUCCACUAUCAGAAUUUCUAUAAAACACUGAGUGAUCACACUUACUCAUCUUCAUUCCAAACUGUUGGACCACCUCACUAAACCUGCCAAACCAUGCCCGAGGACUCUGUUUCAAGCCAUAAAGCGAUUUUCAAAGUCUACAAACCUUACUUGACUCCCCCUGAGCAACAAAACCAGGUGGUUGCUCAAUAUAAACCUCCUCCUGAAGAUCACCAUGAAGAAAAGCAUUUUUAAUAUCCAGUUGAUGCAAAGGCCAAUCAUGAGUAGCCGCCAAGGAAAUAAACAAUCGGACAGAUGCGAGCUUAGCAACUGGAGAGAAUGUAUCAGAAUAGUCAACUCUAUAAGUUUGUGCAUAACCUUUGGCCACUAAACGGGCCUUGAGGCGAGCAAUAGAUCCAUCAGGAUUUACUUUCACUGCAAACACCCAUUUGCACCCAAUAGCCCGCUUUCCUGGGGGCAAGGGCAUCAACUCUCAAGUACCAUUAGUGUCAAGGGCCAUCAUUUCCUCUUCCAUUGCAGCACGCCAACCAGGAUGGGACAAAGCCUCAAUAACAGUUUUGGAAAUUGAAAUAGAAUCUAAAGCAGUGACAAAACAACGAGAAGAGAAGGAUAACUGAUCAUAAGAGACACAAGAUGAAAUAGGAUAAAUGCAAGUACGUUUACCUUUGCGAAGAGCAAUGGGCAAAUCCAAAUCAGACAAUGAAGGAUCAGUAGGAGCAGGAUCGAUCGACGAAGAAGCGGGUAGCAGAACGGAGUUAGAGUCCUCUAAGUGUCUGGAAUACACAUGAAAGAUGGAAGGGCGACCUGGCACAUGAGCGAAAGGUGUAGGAGUAGUCUGAGGAGACGAAGAGUGAACAGUGUAUAACAAGAGGUCAUCUUCCUCCUCCUGGGUGUUAUAAACAGAUGAUGGCGAAAAAAAUGGAGUGGACUCAAAGAAUGUUACAUCCGCAGACACAAGAUACCGAUUCAGAUCAGGAGAAAAUCAACGAUACCCUUUCUGACGUCGAGAGUAGCCAAGGAAGACACAUUUGAGUGAUUUGGGAUCCAAUUUAGUAACCUGUGGACGAAUAUCACGAACAAAACAAGUACAACUAAAGAUACGUGGCUCAAUAGGAAACAAAGAUUUAGUGGGAAAUAAAAUGUUAUAAGGGAUAUCACCAUGAAGGACGGAGGAAGGCAUGCGAUUGAUCAAAAAACAAGCAGUGGAUACAGUAUCAGCCCAAAAACAUUUAGGUACCUUCAUUUGGAAUAAGAGGGCUCUGGCUACUUCAAGAAGAUGUCGAUUUUUUCUUUCAGCAACUCCAUUUUGUGAAGGAGUGGCAACACAAGAGGAUUGAUGAAAAAUCCCUUUUUGUAACAAAUAAGAUUGAAAUUCCCCAAAGAGAUACUCUUUAGCAUUAUCACUUUGCAAUAUACGGAUGGAAGUAUUGAAUUGGGUUUGGAUUUCAGCAUAAAAUGCACAAAAAAUAGAAAAUAAUUCUAAACGACUCUUCAUUAAAAAUAACCAAGUAGUACGAGAGAAAUCAUCAACAAAAGUAACAAAAUACUUAAAGCCAGACUUAGACACAACAGGACAAGGACCCCAAACAUCGAAAUGGACUAACUCAAAGGGAGACGAAACCCGUUUAUUGACUCGAGACAGUGUAGGUAAACGAUGAUGUUUGGCAAAUUGACAAGACUCACAAUCUAGAAUAGACAAAGAAUGAAACUGUGGAUAUAACUUCUUCAAAGCCGAGAGAGAAGGAUGCCCUAAACGACAAUGAACAUCAAAAGGUGUUAAACGCGUGGAGCAUACUAGAGAUCGAGGAGAUCGAGGUAGUUGCUGAUCCAAGACGUAAAGACCCUUUGACUCACUUUCUCUACCAAUAAUCUGCUUCGUCGACAGAUCCUGAAAAACACAGUGAUCAGAAAAGAAUGAGACACAACAAUUCAAUGCACGAGUGAGUUUACUCACGGAAAGCAAAUUAAAUGCGAACUUAGGGAGACAUAACACAGAGGAUACAGAAAGAGAAGGGGUUAAGUUGACAUGACCAGAACCCAUGACGUACGAUUUAGUGCCAUCAGCAAGAGUAACAUAAGAAGGCGAUGUAUGAGACUCAAGAUUGGACAAAAGGGUAGAAUUACCUGACAUAUGAUCGGUAGCACCAGAAUCAAUAACCCAUUUGGAGGAUGAAGACACAAGACAUGCAGUAGAGUUACCUGACUCGGCAAUUGCAGUGAUAGAGGAGGAAUUAGAGGAUUUUAUAGAUGCCUGGUAUUGGAUGAAUUGUGCAUACUCAUCUGCAGAUAUCAAAAUUCCCUGAUCGGAAGAUCCAUUCAAUUUGUGUUCCGUGAUUUUAGUCAUCAUAGGAAUCACAUCAGUUACGGUGGUAGUUUUAAUUUCAGCCAUAAGGACAACCAACCCAAAACGAUAGCAACAAAAGAAACACAGAAUCAGAAAACAGUACCCUGCGUGAACAGUACCGAUGAACAGUACCACGUGAACAGUACCCCCGAUGAACAGUACCUGUGAACAGUGCCGAUGAACAGUACCAUAAACAGUGUCGAUGAACAGUGCUGAUGAACAGUACCAAAUAAAACACCUCCACCCAACACCCGAACGGCAAACAAACCUCAAAUUUGACAAAGGGUCGGUGUGGCGACUCCAGCGAUAGUGAGAUCCAAAUAUUACCCUUUAUGGAUAACCUAAAUGAACGGAGCCCUAAGUCUCCAAAAAAAUUUUAAAACUUUUCGAGAGAGAAAAGAGAAAAAAAAUCUCUACGAGAAAGGCUCUGAUACCAUGUAGAAAGAUAAUAUUUGUUGUUUAUCACAAUAGAGAUUACAACCUAUUUAUACAUGAGAGACGGUAACUAAACAGGCAGGAAAAUCAAGCCUAUGUUUAUACAAUCCCUAAGAUUAAGUAACUGACCCAUCUAUCAAUAUUUACUUCCUAUAUUAACAUAUUUACUUUCUAUAACUUAUAACAAUCUGUUUUGUCACAAGAUCUUGAAUGAGAUAAGAAUGAGGAAAAAAAAGAGAAACAACAACUUAGAUCUUUGAUAAGUUUACUCAUAGAGAUUAAAUUAAAAGCAAGAUUAGGUAAACUUAGUACAGAUGAUAAGGUAAUAGGAGUAGGUUUAAUAGUCCUAGAACUCUCAACAUUAUAGAUUGACUCAUGAGUUAUUGUAACAGGAGAAGGUGCUUUAUGAGAUCAAAAGUUGGCAAAAAAUGAGGAUUACCUGUAAUGUAAUGUGACCGUGGCACCAGAAUCAAUGACCCACUUGUAUGAGGAGGAGAUAAGGCGAGUUUUACCAGAUUUAGUAUUAGCUGUUACUGGAAUGGACCCUCUCAACAAAUCCUGAUACCAAGUAUAUUCUUCAAUUGAAAUGAGAAAAUUAUUCUUAGAGGAAGAACUGGUUGUAGUAACAUUAGCAGUCCUUCGCUUCUUGUUUUGUAAUUUCUUACAAUUUUCAGUGACAUGAGAUUAUUGGACGCCAUUUCAAUCAAUACUAGCCAAAAUUAAUCACUUCAUAAAACCUUCUCCUAAUGAUUUAAGACGACAAAACCAGGCCACAAAAAAGCUGCACCCAAAAUUAAAAGGCCAAAAACCGACUUAAAUCCCAAAAACAAAACAUGAUCUGUGAACACGGAAGGAGAAGCCCAACUGCAGCAAUGUCGGAUGACAAACCCGACAUUGGAAAGCUGCCGAAAACCACUACGCGACCUCAGAACAGGAAUCGGAGGCUCGCCGGAGGUGUCACGCUCCCUCACACGCCGGUGCUUGAAAGUUGCCACAGAAAUUUCAGAUGGCGCGUGGAGCUCACUCUCAUGUCGCCCGGUCACCGGUCUUUAAGGAUCGGCUAGAAACUCACCUGUACUCUUCCCUACGGUGGUGGUGAGACGAAACAAUCACCGAAGAAUGUGACCCACGCAAAUAGUUUCCUAAAGAGGAAACUCAGAUUUUCAGAACAAGCCGAAAGGCUCUGAUACCAUAUAACAAGAUAAAGAACAAUUGGGCAAUUUCUAUGUGUAUUCUCUAUUGAAGUAAGUGUGUUUAUAUACAUAUUACAAGAUCUUAUUAAGACAAUUCUUAAAAGUUCUCUAUCAAUCAAUUAGUAUCAAUUAGCUCAUAAUUAUAUAUGUUGACACUCUAACACAUAAUAUUGAUAUUUUAAAGGGUUUUUAAGUGCAUAGAUGGUUUAACAACUUUGUAAAACCUCCCGUUACCUUAAAAAAUCACCUCCUAAACAAAGGGUAAGAGUAUUAGUGGUUCAUUUGUCUGAUUUAUAAGAAGGGGUAACUAAAAUGAAGUGAAAAAUAUUAAAGUUUAAUGCUGAAUCGGUUUUCAACAAAAUUAAAUAAUGAAAAAGAAUUACUAUAAUCAAUCCAUCUAGUUUAAGAUUAAGCCCUAGUUGUUGAUAGGAAUUGGUAACUAUAAAGAGUAGUAGUAUUAUAACUCUACGUUUGACAUGGUAACUACAAUCAUGCAAGAUUUCAAUUUCUUUUAAAAUGAAAAAUUUUUUAAGUCAACAAUUAUUAAAUUUUUUUACAUUCCAAAUAAAAAAAUUAUUAUAAAAGAAAUCAAUUGAAUUGAAUUUUUGUGAAAAUCUUAAUUUCAAAUGGAGAGUAAUGUCCAAGAGUUUGUAAACGAAGCAACAAAUUCUUAUUUCACAAAAAGGACAUUUUUUGAAAUAGCUAAGGUGAUUGUACUUCGAAAAUAAUAAGGUUUCAGCUAUGCAGUUGUGUGAUUGAUUAGGUGUAUUGAAGUUAAAUCCUUCGAAAUUUAACCUACCUUGUUUCAGCUCAAUCAAGCUAUUGGUUCAAUUGAAGCAAUUGCUAAGGCAUCAAAAGAGCAUAUCCUAGAGAAUACAGAUCUUUCAGCUGACAAGGCAGACAUUAUUACCAGGUUUUUCAGAGAUCCAAAGUUUUACCUCAGUCCAAAAAUUAAUUGAUAUAAAGAAACAAAUAGUAACUCGGUGAAACCCUCGGUUAAUUGAUUUGAUUGCUCAAGCUUUACUGUAAGUCCAUAUGAUAAAAGCCUACAAGUAUUUCAAUUAGUAGAUAAAAGUCUUGAGCCUGGUGAUGGUUCUUUGAGUCAGUACUGUCGAUUAUUCUCGAGUGAAUACAUAUUCCUUUGAAACUGUUGACUGAAUUUUGAAGUACUGGACCUAUCUUACACUUCUUUAAUCCUACAAACUGGUAAGUUGGGGAAGUGACAUCUUACUUUCUAUUAUUUUACUUUAUUUUACAAAACCUUGAGGACGAACAGUGGUUUACGUGGUUUUAUAUAAUUUGAGAAAAAUUACAAUUAAGUCUUUAUAUAUUUAACAAAUCUAUUAAUUAGUUCUUAUUUGAAAAUUGUCUGAUUAAAAUAUUUGGUACUUUAUUAAAUCAAACUCUUUAGAUCAUCUAUUAAAUAAUUUUUUAGUAAACUUUAAUAUUUAUACUAUUUAGUUCAUGUAUCUUUAGCUAUACAUAUUAUACUAUUUAAUUCUUCUCAUUCUCUAUUAUUUUUCAAUUCAAAAAUUUUACUUUUCAUAUACUCCAAGUAGUAAAUUUUUUCUUAAAUUAUUAACUCAUUAACUAAUUUAAUUUUAUAUAUUUUUUAUUAUUAAAGGUAUAUUUUGUAUGGGUUAACUGAGAGUUAUAUAUUAUGAGUUAAUACUUAAUUUCGUUUAAAUUCGACACUGACUUCAAUUUUUACAUUGGAAAUAAAUGGAAUAAAAUUUAGUAAAUGGGGUUUGAAAAAGUUUACUUGCCAAAGGGGUGAUAUUUACUACCAUGGAAAAAAUCUAACCCCUAAUGCUGGUAUGGCUAACAGAACACGAGUGUUUUUAAAAAAAUAAGAGUAUAUCAAAUGUUGGCUGAGAAUAUUCUCAGCCUGCAUGAUGUACCAUUAGCAAGCCGUAUAAUUUUAUUUUUGAAAUUAUCAAAUAUAAUGUUAAAUAUAUUUUUAUGAUAAUAUAUAUAUAUAUAUAUGUAUUAAAAGUUUUUAAUAAUAUUUAUAGGAUUUAUAUUUAUAAUAUACAAGUAUAGUAAAAUUUACUUAAAUAUUAUUACUAUUUUUAUAAUUAAUUAAUUAAUAAUAUAAGAUAUAAUUAUUUAUUUUAUUUUGAUUAAUUCAAUUACAACUUAUAACCAAUCAAAUAUUUUGAUUUUUUUUUAACUUCAAUUCAUUUGGGUUAAUGUUUUAUAAAUGGAUGAAAUUUCUAUUAAUUGAAUUUUUUGUUUACUUGAGCGAAUGCCCACAGCCAUACCUCCAGUCUUAAGAACUUUUGGAUAUAACUAUACUAGUCUAAAAUCGAUUCGAAACCUGCCAUUUUAAACCAAGAAAAAGGCUUAUCGUAGCCAUCUAAAAACUCACUAACCAAUAAAAGAAUAAAAUUGCAAUCAAAUAGUUUUGCAGGCUACAGUAUUUUGCUUACUUUGUAAAUUGUGUUCCUGUUCACUAUGCAUGGAAUCUCUCAAAGCAAAGAUAUACAGGUAAUUCAUUCAUUAUUAUACCAAAUUGUCUAGUCCAGAUAGUUAAGGUAUCUCGUGGACAUUGUUCAGGGUCAGAAUCGAGUAUUCCAACCACUUCUCCGGUGGUUGCCCUUCUACGAGCGUUGUAAAAUGCUAUAAAGCAUUAUAAAAAAAAAAAAGUAAUUCAUUAUUAUGGAGAGAGAACCUUAUCUCUUCAAGAUAAUUCUUGAUGCUUCUUUUCGAGAGGGAAAGCAUGUAAGCUUCUUUCUCUCAGUUUUCCUGCUACUAUUAUUUUUUUUUUGCUUGAAAUCGAUACGAAAUACAUAAUCAUCUUAUGAUUAAGAACUCUAUCAACAACAACGAAAAAUGCUAAGAUAAUUUUUAGGAGCAUAUUUCUAAUUAACUAUUAUAAUUAGAAAUAAAAAUAAUGGAGAGAUAAUUUCACAUUAGAAAUGCCAUAAGAAAAUAUUUUUGAUAAGUAACUAAACAUGGAAAUAUAUAAAGAAAUUUAUCUUUGCAUUAAAAAUAGAACUAAAGUUCUAAGAAUUCAAAUUUUUAUUCUCUCAAGGAUUUUGUUUGGAAAAAAAUUCAAUUAAAUUUUUUUCUUGCAAAAUUCUUAUUCGGGAUAGAAGAAUUUCAAAAAUUUUUAACUUAAAAUUUUUUUAUUAUCUAUAGAGACGAAAUCAUGAAUAAUAUUUACAAAAAAUUAUUUGAAUUUUUUUUUUUAUAAAAUCAUUCAUGCCAAACGGGAGAAUUAUGAAUAAUACUAGUAUUAUUAGCAUUAUUAGCAUAGCCUCCAAAAGGUUACAAUACACCUAUUUAUGAUAUUUCUAAUCCUAAUACUUGUUGAAAUAGUAAAAUAUAAGGUAAUCCUAUUUAAAUUAGGAAAACUAAAUCUAAAAUCUUCCUAAUCUAAGAAUAACAUUACUAAUGCUAGUAAAAUAAGGAAACAUAAAUCAUAACCUAGCUAAAAUACAAAUAAAAGUUGACUUCUUUCAUAAUUAACACUUAUGAAAGGAUAAAAAAAUAUUGGUAGUCUUCUACUUUACUAAAAAAUUCAUUCAUCUUUUAGCAAGCUAAAAUAUCUCUUCGGGUAGGAGAAUUUUAUUAGUUAAUAAUAUCAAAUUGACUCCCAAUCUAUAUAGAAUCAUAAAAUACUUUAAAAAAUACUAAAAUAUCUUGUAUAUGAGUUUUCAAAAAUGAAUAAAUGUUGGUUAAAAUUGGACCUAUAAAUUUUAAGAAAAUUAUGGCCUUUAAUUUUCAUGAUUGACAUGCUUCCCAAAUAUAAUUAUCAUUUCGAAGAUCUUGAAUCAGUCGAAGAUAAAUUGAUUUCUCAUGAUUCAGAUACUGAUUUUGAAUUUCGAAAUUAGAGCGCAUGAAGAAUAUUUCUACUCUUUUAUGCUUCAUGUUAUUGAAAAAUAUUGUUAUACUUGUACAUGUGUCAAUUUCUCUCUCUUUAAGAUGACUUGUCCACGAAUCGAUAACUAUAAUAGCAAGAAAAAAAUCAAAGUACAUGUCUCUAUAAUAGUUGUUUUUUCAACAAUUUCAACAACUUGGAUUUCAAUGGAAUCCAAACUUUCCAUAGGCUCAUCAUGAUUGUUUGACCUCCUCAUCAUGGUAGUCUUUCAAACUAGAAAGUUCGAACAACAUCUUCAUCAUAUAUAGACUCAUUUUAGACUAUACGCCUUGCCAUUGAUAGGGAAGAGAAAAUUCUCUGCUAGUAUUUGAUUUUAUUUUUUUUAAACUUCUGUGCUGCUAAUAUGUCUAGUGGCAGGGGAUGGAUUUUUGCCAAGGUGGAAAAAAUUAACCCCUUUGGCAAAUGAGUUUUUCUCCACCCCUAUUGAAUAAUUCUUUUCCUAUUUACCCCUUUUGAUAAAAAAAAAUAUAUUACAAAAAAGAAAAAACUUUACUCCAUCCAAAUGUAUUAUAAGAUUUUGCUAAAGAAAAAGAACAUGAUGAUAGUAAUCUAAUCGACAAGGAACUUGUAAAGGGAUGUGUGACUGAGGUACUAAUGAAUAGAAUCUAAAAAUCUCAAACAUUGAAUUGACUUCAAAAUGCAAAAAGGUGAUAUUUGACCACAAGAAAAACCACAUGGCAAACCAUGAUGAGUUAUUGAACCUACAUUAUUCUCCAUUCAACAGUCAGAACCUUGAAUUUUAGGAAAGAUUAAAAAAAACACAGAGACCACUGAGACGGGGGAUACUUUUAUAUCCCAUAGUGUCUUCAAAUCCAUGAUGGAUAGCAAAAUCUUGAAAGGUGAAAUUGAGAUGAUGGUUUAGAUUAAGCCAGGAUAAUUAGUAUCAUAGCAUGAACCCAGAAAAGUACAGAAUCUAACAUCUAGAACGCAUCAAGCGACAUCCUUGAAAAAGAACUUUGCCUAGAAACAUAAAUAAGAAAUUGGAUUGGCUUAGGCUUAGGCUUUUAGAGUUUUACAAAUUAAAACUCCUUAUCCUUUGAACUGAGAGUAAUAAUGCAACGAGUAAUAAUGCAAAAGAGUUCAAAGUGGACGCAUGCUAAUCAGAUAUUGCAAACUGAGAGCUUAAAAUGUAAAAUAAGCUUUAGAUUAUCAAUCAAUCCGAGCCUCUUACUGAAUUCUGAAGAAGCAUUUCUGAUAGCGAUACAUUAAACAAUUGUAAGAGCCCAGGGCCUUGGGCAAGAAAAAGAAAUCGAAGGCCGAAUAAAUGGUUGCAACACUACUCUAGCCCCAAAAGCUGUUCAAGUCAUACAAGCAACUCUAUUUGCAAGGCACUCACUAGCAUACAAAACUACAACAAACAACACUGCUAGAACUAUGUUGACAAAAGCACAAGCAUAGGUCUAGGUGAACAAAGAGAAACUAUGUAAGAUGGAAUCACAGAUAGAAAAUUGACAUUAUUAUGACGGAGCACCAAGGUAUGAAGCAAGCUGUAAGAUAUCACUGAAUAUUCCUCCAGCUGUCACCUGAGCCCCAGCACCGGGUCCACGGACUAUUAAAGGCUGUUCCUUGUACCUUGUAGUAGUGAAAGCUAUGAUGUUAUCAGAACCUGAGAGCUGUGCAAAUGGAUGAUCUUUCUUAUACCUUCGCAACUCAACACGCCCUUCAUGCCUCACCACAUCCACCACCCCAACAUAUCUCAAGACCUUUGGGUUACAGAGAUGAAAAAUGGAAUUAGGAUAGAUAAAAUAAUUCAAAAGAAAUUGCUACUAAAGUUGUAGAAUUUCGAAACUUAAAGAAUGUGUGACCAGCAGGAGCAUGUACAUACAUCCCCAGAGUCCUCGGCCUCUUGUCUUUCCUUCGCCAUGUCUUGGUCAAAUUGAGGUAGCUGCUCCAUAAAUUCUUCAGCAGAUGCACUGGCCUGAAGCAAUAACAAAACCAUCGUGUCAAUAAAAACAUGUACUGUAUGAGAUAAUAGCAACAAUUAAAAUAAAAAAAUAAAAAACUUACUCUCAAUGGUUCUGGCACAAGACUUUGAACAGGGAUAUCAGAAAGUUCCAACUUUAAACCAGAUUCUCUGGCAAGAAUAAUUACCUGCAUAUGCAAUUGUAUUUAGCGAGGAAAAAUGUAAACAAGAAAAGUGCGGAAUCAAUAAGAUUGUAGUGAGGCAUCAUGCAUAAUUUUAUUACACAGCCUGCCUUCAUAUCAAUACUUUUGGGAUGCUAAUAAAAUCGGCCAUUGAAAGAACUCUUAACCAUCAAAUCCAGUCAAAUCAGCUUGGCAAGGAACAGUGGUGUGCGUUACACUAAGCAUUUUUUAAGUUCAAAAACAGUUUAGACUUGGACAAAGUCCCACUCCAUCACCCAUCAAUUAGGAAAUCUUUUGACUAACACACACUCAGUAACAAGGGUGUGCGGUUUCGGGACGGUUCCUUGCAGGAACUGGAAUCGGAAGUCGAUUUCUUAAAUCUUUUUCGAUUCUAGUUUCGGUAUAAUUUUUAGUUUCUAUAAUAAAAUUUAAAUUUGAACGAAAUAAUUAAAUACUUAUAAUAUAGUACUAAUAUUAUUUAUAUCAAACUAACAAGUCUCACAUUCUAAUUUCAAAAUAAUAUCAAAUAUCCACAAUAUUAUAUAAUAUUUUCAUCUAAAAUAUAUGAAGGCAUUAAAUAACCAAAUAUAAUAUAGAGUUACUAUUACAAUUUUCAACUCUUAAAAGAAAAAGAAAAAAAAAAAGACAAAAUUUUCUAAUAGAGCUUCUAAAAACUUUGUUGCAACGUUUUCACAAGAAAUNNNNNNNNNNNNNNNNNNNNNNNNNNNNNNNNNNNNNNNNNNNNNNNNNNNNNNNNNNNNNNNNNNNNNNNNNNNNNNNNNNNNNNNNNNNNNNNNNNNNNNNNNNNNNNNNNNNNNNNNNNNNNNNNNNNNNNNNNNNNNNNNNNNNNNNNNNNNNNNNNNNNNNNNNNNNNNNNNNNNNNNNNNNNNNNNNNNNNNNNNNNNNNNNNNNNNNNNNNNNNNNNNNNNNNNNNNNNNNNNNNNNNNNNNNNNNNNNNNNNNNNNNNNNNNNNNNNNNNNNNNNNNNNNNNNNNNNNNNNNNNNNNNNNNNNNNNNNNNNNNNNNNNNNNNNNNNNNNNNNNNNNNNNNNNNNNNNNNNNNNNNNNNNNNNNNNNNNNNNNNNNNNNNNNNNNNNNNNNNNNNNNNNNNNNNNNNNNNNNNNNNNNNNNNNNNNNNNNNNNNNNNNNNNNNNNNNNNNNNNNNNNNNNNNNNNNNNNNNNNNNNNNNNNNNNNNNNNNNNNNNNNNNNNNNNNNNNNNNNNNNNNNNNNNNNNNNNNNNNNNNNNNNNNNNNNNNNUCCAAGAACCGUGCACAGGCCUACCUAUUUAGUAAUAUAAUAGGACUAGCAUGGAAAGGCAGUUGCACAGACAGGCAACUAGUGAACUUAUCAAAAAAAUAAUAAUAAUAAAUUUCAGUAUGUAUUAGGCAGACAAUACCUUCCUUGCAACAUCUGUUCCAGAUAGAUCAUCCCUUGGAUCUGGUUCAGUAUAACCUGCCUGCUUUGCCUGUGCCACUACUUCACUGAAUGAUUGUGCGCUUAUGAAGUUGUUGAAAAUGUAACUCAAAGUUCCACUGUGACAACAAAUAAUGAAAAGAACACUAGCAUCAAAAGAUGCAUAUUUUGGAAUUGAAUAAUGUACAACCAUUUAGAAACUCAAAUAAUAUGUUUAGCAAGUAAAGUGGUUCUCAUGAUGGUUUUCUGGCCAAUGAACAAGCAAAAAGGUUUUUACCUGAAAAUUCCUUCAAUUUGCAAUAUCUUAUCUCCAGUUUCAAGGAGACCCCGUAAAGUACUAAUAAUUGGAAGACCAGCUCCAACAGUUGCUUCAUAAAAGUAAUGUGUAUAGGAUUCGCGCUGAAGAGCUCUCAACUUUAAAUACUGAAUUUACACACCAAAAGAAAAAAGAAAGAUAAUUGAUACCCAAAAGUAAGGCAUAACAAAGGGUGUAGGUGCAACAGUUUUCAGUAUCAGUAUCAGUUCAACUACAAGGUUUUCAGUAUCAUUUCUGUAUAUCAGGUGAAACACCUCUAGAUACCCUGUUCAAUAAUGAAGAAAACUGCUUCCAUCCAUAAUUAUUGGCUAAUUCAAUAUAAGAUUCUUCAGACAUAAGAUCCAACAACUUCAUUAGUCAUGGAACACUGGCAUUCAAGCCAUAUUUUACCUCUAACUGGAAUGUCAUUAUUAUCAUUGUUCCAUUGAUUUGUUUCUUCUCACUUCUUAAAUGUUAUAAUUACUUUCAUUAGUUUGGGAUAACUUAAACCUAAAAUACAUCUGUUGAGAAUCCCACAUCGAAAACACAUAAGAAUAUAAAGGUGAAUAUAAGUGAUUGAGUUAUAAUAUCAAAUUGCCUAGUCAUUUUGUGUUAGAGUGUGAACAUAAUCUAUACAUAAUCAUAAAAGAUUACAUAAUUAUAGGUCAAUUGAUUAAUAAAGGAUUUUUAGGAGUUGCCUUAAUAAAUCUGUAUAUAUACACGCUUACUUCAAUGGAGAAAUAUACAUAAAUUGCUCAAUUAUUCCUUAUCUUAUUACAUGGUAUCAGAGCCAUUCCUGUAGGGAUUUAAUUUUUUUUUCUCUCCCAUCGAGUUUUAAAUUUUUGAAGACUUAGGACUCCUAUUCUUUUCGGCUACCCAUCUAGGGUAAUAUUUGUCUCUCACCGUCCACCUAGAGAGGACGCCAAAGUCGCCUUGCAGCCCCCUUGUCAAAUCUGUAGUUCGUUUGCCGCUUGAGUAUUAGGUGAAGGCGUUUGUUAUACUGUUCACGUCGAGUAUUAUUCACGACGGGUACUGUUUACGACGGCUACUGUUCAUUGGGUUAGGUUUUGUUAUCUUCCUUUAAUUCGUUUGAAGGUAUAGGAGUAUAAGGUUUUGGUUGAAAUAGUUUCUGACAGUAAGAUCUAUAUUAUUAAAAUUAUCCCAACGUCUUCAGUAGCGGCUGAGACAGAUAAAACGUGUCUUAUUUCCUCUUCAUAUAAAUGGGUCAUUGAUUUUGGUGUCACGGAUCACAUGACAGGUAAUUCUCAUAUUUUUACUAGCUUUCGAUCUCAUAAAGCACCUUCUCCUGUUAUUAUAGCUGAUUGGUCAACCUAUAAUGUUGAUGAUUCCGGGACUGUUAAACCUACUCCUUCUAUUAUCCUAUCAUCUGUGCUAAGUUUACCUAAUCUUGCCUUUAAUUUAAUAUCUGUGAGUAAACUUACCAAAGACCUAAAUUGUGGUAUUUCCUUUUUUCCUGAUCAUUGUCACAUUCAGGAUCUUGUGAUGAAGUAGAUUAUUGGUAAAGGACAUGUAUCUGGGGGUCUCUACAUUUUGGAUGCAUGGGUGCCUUAGUCUGUUGCUUGCUCCAGUGUCGUGUCUCCGUUUGAAGCACAUUGUCGGUUGGAACACCCUUCUUUACAAAUUUUGAAGAAGUUAUGCCCUCAAUUUCAUAAGCUAUAUUUACUGGAAUGUGAGUCAUGUCAUUUUGCAAAACAUUAUCGAAACUCUUUAAGUCCUAGAGUCAAUAAAUGAGCUGAGUCCGUGUUAUGGUCUCGGGUUGUGGAUCUAGUUAUGGGUCGGUGGGUUAAGGGUAUGGCAGGAGUUUGAGUGUUUGGGUUAAGAGUUUUUAUGACUUCUGGUCAUUAAGAAUUCAGGCUCUAAAAGAGAGAGCCUGGAACCUCUGAGACUUAAAGCGCUCAAGACUUAAUUGAUUUUGGAAGCUUGUACUCUUCAUUAAUGUUAUUGCUUAAAUACAGAAAAGAAGUAUAACUGCUUCCUACAUUAAAGGAGCACUACUUCAACAUGGAGGAAUACUCUCCUCAACUAACAACAUGAAAUAGAAAGUGCUUCCUACAUCAAAGGAGCACUACUUCAACAUGGAGAAAACACUCUCCUCAACUAACAACAUGAAAUAGAAAGUGGAGGAAUACCCUCCUACAAACAGGGAACAAUUUAACUAAAAGAUAUUUAAAAAAAUAACUAAAUUAUUUGACUAAUUUAGAGGCUCAAUAUGUGGCUGCUUUGACUUGGGUCCAUGACUGAAUUGGGUAUAGACUUGCAGUGGUUUGGUAACAUUACUUCCCGCCCCCAAAGGAAGCUUGUCCUCAAGCUGAAAAUCUGGAUAUUUGGCGGAGAAUGCCUGCACCUUCUCCAUGAAGUAUCGGCAGGAGAAGAAUGACUCCAGUGGAUGAGAACCUCCUGACUUCCUCCUUUAAAUACAGUGGUCUAGAAUGGCCCAAGACAGGAAUUCAAAGUGGCUGUAAUGCGUCCGAAAAGCUGUUUUCUCAACAUCAAAAGGAUGCAUACCCACUUGAAAAUAACCAGAAUGUAAAUCCAAUUUUGUGAAGUAUCUAGCACCACCUAGUUCUUCUAAUAACUCAUCUAUCACAGGAAUUGGAAAUUUGUCUUUAAUGGUUUUGGCGUUUAAUUCUCUGUAAUCGACACAUAAACGCCAAGAACCGUCUGCCUUUGGUACUAGGAUCACCGGAGAAGAGAAUGGUGAUCGGCUUGGGCGGAUUAUGCCAUGUUGCAACAUGGCCGCACACUGCUUUUCGAUUUCAUCCUUCUGUCCAUGUGGAUAGCGGUAUAGUCGAACAACCACCAGUUUUGCUCCUGGUUCCAAAGGAAUACGAUGGUCACAGGCCCUGCUAGGAGGUAAUCCGGUUGGUGCACUGAAUAAAGAGGCAAAUUCUGCCAACAAUUUCUGUAGUUGAAUUUCGGAAUCUGGGGAAUGCAGCAAAAUGUAGAGAUCAGACUGCUUUGUAUAAGGAAUUGAAGUCAUGCCCUGCAAUUCGAUCAAGGUUCCCUGUUGAAAGAAAUACAUUCUCAUGACAGCAAAAUCCCACAGAAUGGGUCCCAAAGUUCGAAGCCAGUUAACUCCCAAAACCACAUCAAAACCGGUUAGUGGCAGAACAAAUAAGUCCACGGAAAAAGAGUGGGAAUCCAGUAGAAUUGGGAUUCCCUUGCAUAUACCUGGGCUGUCCAGCUGCUCACCGUGGGCGACAUUAACUUUCAAGCCAUCCUGCCCGUUUACUUCAGCACAAAGUUCCUCGACUUUUGUUGCAGACACAAAACUGUGAGUGCUGCCAGAAUCAAUUAGAAUUAAGACUUGUCCCCCCUUCCAAUAUUCCUGUAGUCGCAUGGAUUGAGGAUUUCGAAUUCCAGUGAUGGCGUUCAAUGAAAACUCUAGUUGUUCUAACUCCGGAUCAAAAUUUGUGUGCUCUAUUUUUUCGAUCUCCAAGUCUAUCCAGAAAAGCUUUUUACAUUGGUGGCCGCGAACAAACUGUUCAUCAUAGUUAAAACACAAUCCCUUUUUCCGUCUUUCUUCCAUCUCCUCACGGUUCAGUCGCUUCACCAAUCUGUUGGCACGAGGUGCAGAUGUGAAGGCAGCACAACGAGUGUCUCUCACAGCCGGAGAACUUGGGAAAAGUUUCCGUUCAUACAGCCGGGAGAUGCUCAUUGCAUUCACCAAAUCUUUUGGAUGAUGCAGCUCGACCUCAACAACAAUGGAGUCCUGCAAUCCACUGAGGUACAACUGGACCUUUUGAUCCUGAGUGAGGGUGCCAGCCCGUGACACCAAGGCUUCGAAACGGUUCUGAUAUUCUGCAACAGAACCAGUUUGCUUUAGCUUCGCCAAUUCGCUUAAUUUGUUGCUGCGGAUUGGAGGUCCAAAACGAAGAUUACACUGAUGUGUGAACUCAUCCCAAUUGGGAUCUGGAAUGUCAUCCAGCAGCUGCAUAUACCAUAGCUGAGCAAUUCCCUCCAAAUGGUACGAAGCUAAACUCACCUUCUCCUCUUCGGGUGUUUGUUGGUGCCUAAAAAAAUGCUGGCAUCGGGCAAGCCACCCCAAAGGGUCUUCCAGCCCAUCAUAACGUGGAAAAUCAAGCUUUGUGAAUUUCGGUACUACCGAACUUCCUCCCGAACUUUCAGAAACCGAAGCACCCGAAAUUCCCUUAUCUCUCCUUGAUUUUGCUUGACUGCCAGUGCUGCUAGAUUGCAACCCUUUCUUAGUCAAUUCCAAUUCUUGAGACAUUGCAUCCAAUUUGGCGUGCAAUUGCUCAACUUUCUCAUUUCGGUCUUCGUUUGCUUGCUGCUCAGCCAACAACAAUUCAAAGAGCUUGGCGAGUUGAUCUUGAACAGAGUUCCCCAUAACUGCUGGCUCUGAUACCAAACUGUUAUGGUCCCGGGUUGUGGAUCUAGUUAUGGGUCGGUGGGUUAAGGGUAUGGCAGGAGUUUGAGUGUUUGGGUUAAGAGUCUUUUUAUGACUUCUGGUCAUUAACAAUUCAGGCUCUAAAAGAGGGAGCCUGGAACCUCUGAGACUUAAAGCGCUCAAGACUUAAUUGAUUUUGGAAGCUUGUACUCUUCAUUAAUGUUAUUGCUUAAAUACAGAAAGGAAGUAUAACUGCUUCCUACAUUAAAGGAGCACUACUUCAACAUGGAGGAACACUCUCCUCAACUAACAACAUGAAAUAGAAAGUGCUUCCUACAUCAAAGGAGCACUACUUCAACAUAGAGAAAACACCCUCCUCAACUAACAACAUGAAAUAGAAAGUGGAGGAAUACCCUCCUACAAACAGGGAACAAUUUAACUAAAAGAUAUUUAAAAAAAUAACUGAAUUAUUUGACUAAUUUAGAGGCUCAAUAUGUGGCUGCUUUGACUUGGGUCCAUGACUGAAUUGGGUAUAGACUUGCAGUGGUUUGGUAACAG